rnacentral:rRNA from 1 species
AAACUUUCAACAAUGGAUCUCUUGGCUCUUGCAUCGAUGAGGAACGCAGUGAAGUGCGAUAUGUAGUGUGAAUUGCAGAAUUCCGUGAAUCAUCGAAUCUUUGAACGCAUAUUGCACUCUCUGGUAUUCCGGAGAGUAUGCCUAUUUGGGGGUCAUGUG